GAUGAACGCUGGCGGCGUGCUUAACACAUGCAAGUCGAACGGACUAAAUGGAGCUUGCUCCAUGAGGUUAGUGGCGGACGGGUGAGUAACGCGUGGGUAACCUGCCCUAUGCAGGGGGAUAACGUUUGGAAACGAACGCUAAUACCGCAUAAUCUAAACUUUUCGCAUGAAGAGAUUAGCAAAGAUUUUAUCGGCAUAGGAUGGACCCGCGUUGGAUUAGCUAGUUGGUGAGAUAACAGCUCACCAAGGCGACGAUCCAUAGCCGGCCUGAGAGGGUGAACGGCCACACUGGGACUGAGACACGGCCCAGACUCCUACGGGAGGCAGCAGUGGGGAAUAUUGCACAAUGGGCGCAAGCCUGAUGCAGCGACGCCGCGUGAAGGAUGAAGGUUUUCGGAUCGUAAACUUCUAUCAGCAGGGAAGAAACCAAUGACGGUACCUGACUAAGAAGCCCCGGCUAACUACGUGCCAGCCGCCGCCGUAACAC
rnacentral:rRNA from 1 species